rnacentral:tRNA from 1 species
GGGGAUAUAGCUCAGUGGUAGAGCAUGUGCUUAGCAUGCACGAGGUCCUGGGUUCAAUCCCCAGUACCUCCU